rnacentral:lncRNA from 1 species
CACUGUAUCUGUCACCUUCUGUUCUCUCUCUUCAAACACCCCAUCCUGGGCUGAAAUGGGUGUGUUCUCUGAGACUGAUUUUAAUUAGAGUAAAAUUCAAGGCAAUCGUUGGUGGAUUCUGGUAAUAAUUUAACCUCUGAAGUUGAUGAACAUUCUGUCCUCUGAGUCACCUUCCAGCCCUAUCAGUUUAAUAUUAAAAUAAGGAGACUGCCAGGAAGUGCUUUAUUCAUCUUCCAAAAUUCUCUUUUGGUAUUUUGCAUCCAUGAGUCACACAUACUCAAUGACUGCAGAAGCCAAAGAAUGAAUUAGAUUCCCUAGAACUGGAGUUGCAGACAUUGUGAGCCACUUGAUAAGGGCAAUAUAGAACACACAGGCAAGAAGGAGCCACCCUUUUUGAGAUUUCUCAAGAAACCACCAGUCUCAGCUUUCCUGUCUCAUCUUCAGUGCUUGGUUCCAAAUGAGAUGACCACUGAGCAUGGCAGCACAUGGCUGUAACCCCAGCACUAGGCUUGGGCCAUUAUAGGUCACUCCAGAGCAAUUUUAUUGUUUAACAGAGCUGGUGACAUUUGCUUGGAUUGAAGAACUCCAGCAGGUAAAUUCUCAGAACUGGAAUCUGAUACCUACUCAUAAUCUUGCAGUUGUGAUAUGAGGAUUGUAUGGACGGACUGUAGGAUUGAACCCAGACCAGAGCAGGAAGGCCCUCAGGAGAUGAUGGCUUUGUGCUCCUGGAUUUCCGAAGUAAUGCCCAAGAAGGUCAUUGUGCUGGUUAAUGUAUUUGCCUGAUGAAUGCUUUAAAAUCUGUCCCAAGAAUACUUUAAGAAUAUGGUUCAGUGACUGGAAUUCUUUCUACAAUGAAUCGGAAUGCAUCUCGUGCUCUUACUGUCCAGUUUAAGCUGUGGGUGCAAAAGAGAGAAGGAGAGAGGAAGAGAGAGAAGAGGAAGAGGAAGAGGGAGAGAGGAAGGAGAGAGGGGGGAGAGAGAGAGGAAGAAGAAGAAGAAGAAGAAGAAGAAGAAGAAGAAGAAGAAGAAGAAGAAGAAGAAGAAGAAGAAGAAGAAGAAGAAAGAGAAGAGAAGAGAAGAGAAGAGAAGAGAAGAGAAGAGAAGAGAAGAGAAGAGAAGAGAAGAGAAGAGAAGAGAAGAGAAGAGAAAGAGAAUCCAGUUGGGUGGUAUUGUGUAGAGAAGCUGAGUAAGACUCCAGGUAAAUAAUUCAAAAUAACUUCAGGAAACACCUUAAGCAAAAGGUAAGCAACUCAAAAUAACAUCAGGGUCAGGAAGUCCCUGAAACCAAGCAGAUUCACUAGGACUAUCUGUCCUAUUAGUUAACAACAAAGACUGCUGAGAUUGAGUCUCCGACAAGACAUGCUGCAAGGACCCUGAGACCAGAUCAGUUGCCUGGAAGAAGAAGAAACUAGCUGACCUGCCUGUAAGGGGCAUAGAUCAACUGAGUCACCAGGAAAGGACAUUCUUCCAAUUGUUCAGGCUGUGUAAUGUGUUCCAGGUUCCUUUGUGAUCUGUCAUUUGAAUCAUUUCUGCUCCUGCAA